CAGGUAGGUGAGCGUGGGAGGAAAUAGUUUCAGCUAUGCCGCGAACACACCGACCCCUGACUGGAUUAAGAGUUGUGUCGGUUCGCCAGAGCAUCUUGCUUUGAACAGAGUGUCACGUCAGGGCACGUCGUCGGUCAUCUCACCUGGACGCUCAACAACAGACAGAUGCCCCGCUGUCGUUUCGGUCUAUCUGAUGCUGUGAUGGUCCAGCUGUAAGAACACAGGCCUCACAGACCUACAAUACUCUCUAUUCCUCAGGGAGUCGCAUGUCAACCAUGGCGACGCAGGUGUUAAUCCCACCGACAGUGUUUGUGUCCACCGUGCUGUCGCUGCUCAGCUUGGUGCUGCUGCUGCUGCUGUGUGUCAUAAGGAAGAAA